rnacentral:rRNA from 1 species
UACGGGGGGGGCAAGCGUUGUUCGGAAUUACUGGGCGUAAAGGGCGCGUAGGCGGCCUGCUAAGUCGGAUGUGAAAUCCCUCGGCUUAACCGGGGAACUGCGUCUGAUACUGGACGGCUUGAGUUUGGGAGAGGGACGCGGAAUUCCAGGUGUAGCGGUGAAAUGCGUAGAUAUCUGGAGGAACACCGGUGGCGAAGGCGGCGUCCUGGACCAACACUGACACUGAGGAGCGAAAGCCAGGGGAGCAAACGGG